AAUAUCUGGGUUUGUUGUGGCUGUUCUAACUUAUACCGGUUGUUGACCUUGUUUCAUGGUUUUUCACUUAUGGUAAUGUAUAGUGAUGGAGUACUGGGGUUUAUCA